AGUGGCGGACGGGUGAGUAACGCGUGGGUAACCUGCCUCAUACAGGGGGAUAACAGUUAGAAAUGACUGCUAAUACCGCAUAAGACCACGGGGCCGCAUGGCUCAGUGGGAAAAACUCCGGUGGUAUGAGAUGGACCCGCGUCUGAUUAGGUAGUUGGUGGGGCAACGGCCUACCAAGCCAACGAUCAGUAGCCGACCUGAGAGGGUGACCGGCCACAUUGGGACUGAGACACGGCCCAA
rnacentral:rRNA from 1 species